rnacentral:lncRNA from 1 species
GCUAUAGACAUACGGAGGAGACUUGUAAACAUAUGGAGCCGGGGGUGGAGAAUAGCUAUCGACGUAAGGAGGUGGUGGAGGAGACUUGUAAACAUAUGGAGGAGGUGGUGGCGAGCUGUAGACAUAAGGAGGUGGUGGUGGAGACUUGUAUACAUAUGGAGGAGGCGGUGGCGAGCUGUAGACAUAUGGAGGUGGUGGUGGAGACUUGUAAACAUAUGGAGGAGGUGGUGGCGAGCUGUAGACAUAAGGAGGUGGUGGUGGAGACUUGUAUACAUAUGGAGGAGGCGGUGGUGAGCUGUAGACAUAUGGAGGUGGUGGUGGCGAGCUAUAGACGUAGGGAGGUGGUGGAGGAGAUUUGUAAACAUAAGGAGGGGGUGGUGGUGAGCUGUACACAUAAGGAGGCGGUGGUGGAGAUUUGUAGACAUAUGGAGGUGGUGGUGGAGAAUUGUAGACGUAUGGAGGUGGUGGAGGAGACUUGUAAACAUAUGGAGGAGGUGGUGGAGAGCUAUAGACAUAAGGAGGAGGUGGAGGAGAUUUGUAGACAUAUGGAGGCGGUGGUGGAGAACUGUAGACGUAAGGUGGUGGAGGAGGAGACUUG